GCAUAUCAAUAAGCGGAGGAAAAGAAACCAACANGNAUUGCCCCAGUAGCGGCGAGUGAAGCGGCAAGAGCUCAGAUUUGAAAUCGUGUUUCGGCACGAGUUGUAGAGUGUAGGCGGGAGUCUCUGUGGAGCGCGGUGUCCAAGUCCCUUGGAACAGGGUGCCUGAGAGGGUGAGAGCCCCGUAGGGUGCUGCGCGAAGCUUUUGAGGCCCUGCUGACGAGUCGAGUUGUUUGGGAAUGCAGCUCCAAGCGGGUGGUAAAUUCCAUCUAAGGCUAAAUAUUGGCGAGAGACCGAUAGCGAACAAGUACUGUGAAGGAAAGAUGAAAAGCACUUUGAAAAGAGAGUGAAACAGCACGUGAAAUUGUUGAAAGGGAAGGGUAUUGGGCUCGACAUGGGGGGUGCGCACCGCUGUCUCUUGUAGGCGGCGCUCUGGGCGCCCUCUGGGCCAGCAUCGGUUCCUGCUGCGGGAGAAGGGGCUCCGGAAAGUGGCUCUUCGGAGUGUUAUAGCCGGGGCCAGAUGCCGCGUGUGGGGACCGAGGACUGCGGCUUCUGUCUCGGAUGCUGGCAUAACGGCGCAAUACCGCCCGUCUU
rnacentral:rRNA from 1 species